GGCUGGGGCUCAGUGGCAGAGCGCUUGCCUAGUGUGCGUGAGGCCCUGGGUUCAAUCCUCAGCACCA
rnacentral:tRNA from 1 species